rnacentral:rRNA from 1 species
CAGCGGAGGGAUCAUUACCGAGUUUACAACUCCCAAACCCCUGUGAACAUACCAAUUGUUGCCUCGGCGGAUCAGCCCGCUCCCGGUAAAACGGGACGGCCCGCCAGAGGACCCCUAAACUCUGUUUCUAUAUGUAACUUCUGAGUAAAACCAUAAAUAAAUCAAAACUUUCAACAACGGAUCUCUUGGUUCUGGCAUCGAUGAAGAACGCAGCAAAAUGCGAUAAGUAAUGUGAAUUGCAGAAUUCAGUGAAUCAUCGAAUCUUUGAACGCACAUUGCGCCCGCCAGUAUUCUGGCGGGCAUGCCUGUUCGAGCGUCAUUUCAACCCUCAAGCCCCCGGGUUUGGUGUUGGGGAUCGGCGAGCCCUUGCGGCAAGCCGGCCCCGAAAUCUAGUGGCGGUCUCGCUGCAGCUUCCAUUGCGUAGUAGUAAAACCCUCGCAACUGGUACGCGGCGCGGCCAAGCCGUUAAACCCCCAACUUCUGAAUGUUGACCUCGGAUCAGGUAG